rnacentral:rRNA from 1 species
AUUGAACGCUGGCGGCAGGCCUAACACAUGCAAGUCGAACGAGUGGCGGACGGGUGAGUAAUGUCUGGGAAACUGCCUGAUGGAGGGGGAUAACUACUGGAAACGGUAGCUAAUACCGCAUACCAUCGGAUGUGCCCAGAUGGGAUUAGCUAGUAGGUGGGGUAACGGCUCACCUAGGCGACGAUCCCUAGCUGGUCUGAGAGGAUGACCAGCAAAACUGGAACUGAGACACGUUCCAGACUCCUACGGGAGGAAGCAGUGGGGAAUAUUGCACAAGGGGCGAAAGCCUGAUGCAGCCAUGCCGCGUGUAUGAAGAAGGCCUUCGGGUUGUAAAGUACUUUCAGCGGGGAGGCGUUACUCGCAGAAGAAGCACCGGCUAACUCCGUGCCAGCAGCCGCGGUAAUAC